CCUGACCCUAGAAGUGUUACAGGUGUGGCUGCUAUGUCACAUGUGCAACAGCAGGUGGCAGAGAGGAAAGAGGCUAUGUCUACACUCAGUGUUCUGACCUACAAACAUUUGAAUUAUUAGUAGCCUGACAUU